rnacentral:rRNA from 1 species
AUUGAACGCUGGCGGCAUGCUUUACACAUGCAAGUCGAACGGUAACAGGCCGCAAGGUGCUGACGAGUGGCGAACGGGUGAGUAAUGCAUCGGAACGUGCCCAGUCGUGGGGGAUAACUCCUCGAAAGAGUAGCAAAUACGCCAUACGACUUAUGGAUGAAGGCGGGGGACCUUAAGGCCUCGCGCGAUUGGAGCGGCCGAUGUCAGAUUAGGUAGUUGGUGGGGUAAAGGCUCACCAAGCCAACGAUCUGUAGCUGGUCUGAGAGGACAACCAGCCACACUGGGACUGAGACACGGCCCAGACUCCUACGGGAGGCAGCAGUGGGGAAUUUUGGACAAUGGGCGCAAGCCUGAUCCAGCAAUGCCGCGUGCAGGAAGAAGGCCUUCGGGUUGUAAACUGCUUUUGUACGGAACGAAACGGCUCUGGUUAAUACCCGGGGCUAAUGACGGUACCGUAAGAAUAAGCACCGGCUAACUACGUG